AACGAACGCUGGCGGUAUGCUUAACACAUGCAAGUCGAACGAGGUAGCAAUACCUAGUGGCAAACGGGUGAGUAAUACAGAGGAAUCUACCUAGCAGUAAGGAAUAACCCUGAGAAAUCAGGGCUAAUACCAUAUAUUACCCUUCGGGGGACAGAUUUAUCGCUGUUAGAUGAGCCUCUGCCGGAUUAGCUAGUUGGUAGGGUAAUGGCCUACCAAGGCAAUGAUCCGUAGCUGGUCUGAGAGGACGAUCAGCCACACUGGAACUGAGACACGGUCCAGACUCCUACGGGAGGCAGCAGUGGGGAAUAUUGGACAAUGGGCGCAAGCCUGAUCCAGCAAUACCGCGUGAGUGAUGAAGGUCUUCGGAUUGUAAAGCUCUUUUAGUAGAGAAGAUAAUGACGGUAUCUACAGAAAAAGCACCGGCAAACUUCGUGCCAGCAGCCGCAGUAA
rnacentral:rRNA from 1 species